rnacentral:misc_RNA from 1 species
AAUUUUAUUUUAAAAAAAAAAAAAAUUUAGAUGCUUUUUAAUGUAACAUCAAAAUACAAACACAAAUCCUAAAAAUGCCAAGGUAAUUCAACCUAAUUUCUGAAUGGUACUUGGACCACAAAAUGAACAAGGAUUUUCCAACUCUAUUUAAUUCCCAAGGCGAAAUUUUAACCUGUCAUCUGCUCCAACAAACGCAGCACACGCAUUGCAGCCUCUCACCAUGACACGGGCACGAUCAUCCACAUUUAACCAAAAGUUACUCAAGAUGACAAUAAGCAACAAAAACUACAA